UCCUGACAGCCGCAUUCCGUGGCUGACACCGGCCAAGACAGGAGAAAAUCAUG
rnacentral:sRNA from 12 species